UGUAUCGUUUGAUUCCAAUUCGUAGUUACUUCUUUUGUUAAAUUUAAGCUUGAUUAUUUUAGUAAAUCUUUAUGCCUUAUGUCUAAAUACAUAUACAUAAUACAUAUGCAAUACUGUAUACGUAUAGUUUUUAUAAUGUUGCUGAGCAUUUUGAGUGUGUAGGGUGUGACAAAGGCAAAACAGGGAACAACUACUUUAUAUAGGAAGAAGAGGUUGAAGUCACUGGUUUUAUUGAUGAUGGUGUUCGAAAUCAACCCAAGUUAAUGUUAAAACGUUAUCAAACUUUUCGUUAUGGUGAGAAUUGAGAACUUAGAACCCUUCUCUUAUAUGGUUCCUAUUUUUGAAAUAAAAAAUUGAAUUACUUUUCUAUACCUUUUUGUAAUCAUUCUCUGCGAAUUUGUUAAUUGUUUUAAUAUAUGAGGUAGGAUUUCUACUUUCGACA